UCCACUUUUAAGAUCGGCUCCAGAACCAAAUCGUUGGUGAAAAGCCCAAAAUGUGAUGGUCCCUAUCUCUUUCUCUCAUUUUCUCCAAAGGUUGAACCUUGGAUUUUGUUUUCUUCUAUGAUUAAAUUGGGGUUUUGGGUUGUCUAAGGAAUUUCAAGGAGCAUGGGUGGCUUUAAACGUUUUCAAUUCUACUUUGAAUCUUCUUAUCUUAAUUGAAUCUUGCUUUGUUUAAUUUUCAUGGAUGACAAUUUUUUUUUUUUUUUUGGUUUUUUUGAGAAAACUUUAUUUGUAGGGUGUAUUAGUACUUUUGACUCACCCCGACCUAAAUCAAGGCGUGCUGGCCAUCACUUGAGGGUGACGUAGCCAUGUGCACAGUGCAGAAGUGAAAAAGGAUAUAAAAAUGCGAAUAAAUAAAAACCAAGCUAACUAAUUUACACUAGACAAAUAUAAGUGCAAGUAACGGAAUUUAGGUGUGAUUACACAUAAUCAGAGCGUAUAUAGCCUAAGGGUAGUCCAGUAGGACAAGUACUAACUAUACAAUACCGGAGAUAGUCCUACAUUAGUGAUAAUCUGUCAGAACCGCCGUCAAUUCCUCGUAAGCCACCAAUAAGCACUCCUACCUAAAACCUAGAGGGGCGCAAAACAGAAAGUGUGAGUGGGUAAAAACAAAGCUUUUCAAAACCAUUUCAAUCAUCAAAGGUAGUAACCCCUCGCCGUAAAACUUGUAUAAUUUCCCAUAAAAUAGAAUACAUACGUAUAUUGAAACCAUACUUGAAAUAACAAAAUCCACAUAUACGCCAUGCCAAAUAUCUUAGCAAUAUAAAUAAGUAACCCAAAUGAAGCAAAUCAAUGAAAAGCAAUAUGUCAGCUAGAUCCAGCUAGUGUGGCUUGUACGGCUGAACCUAUAGCUCAUCAAAUAUGCAUGCACAUGAGUCGGAACCACAGUGGUCUGUACGACAGGAAUGGGUGUGAAUAAAUACGCUCAAGUGCUACGAUCACGUGAAGAUUGUGCGAAUAAUCGCGAGUCAUCUACGAGUCGGAACCACCUAUAAUGGUCUAUACGACAAGACUGUGCACCUAACUUGGAUCCAAGGUGAGCGUGUGGUGCAGGAGGUGAACAUCACGCGAAGGACUGUGCCCUGGCCAUCGGCGGGAGCACUAACACCGGGGUGCUGGUUUAUGAGCUCUAAAUGCAUCAAAUGUAAUUAUAACCAUGCAACUCACAUUCACUGACACACCCCGACCGAGGUCAAGGCAAGCUGGCCGUCACGUGAGGGUGAUGUAGCUAUGUGCACAGUGCGGAAGCGAUAAAGAUAGCAACUAUACGAAUAAUUAAAAACCAGAUUACUAGAGUGCACUACUAAACGAAAGUGAUAAGAGUUAGUUACAACAGUGAACACCUAAUCAGAGCAAAAAGUCUAGGUGCAAUCCAGUAGGACAAGUACUAGUUACACAAUACCAGGAAUGCCCUACU
rnacentral:lncRNA from 1 species